rnacentral:lncRNA from 1 species
CGUGGACAGACAACAAUUUAUUUCUCCAUGCAUCAGGUGACAGACAUUUGGGUGGUUCCCACCUGACUCACUUCAUGAAAGAAUAUCUCUGGGCCCCAUGUGGAGGCUCAAAAGAGCAGAGCUGGGAGACCAGGGAGGAUGUAGCUGCAGGAAUCCCAGGAAUGCAGGUGAGGGCUGGAGGCGGUUGCCCUGCAGGAGCCGAGUGACGAUGACCUGUGGAUGAGCAGCCUGGGAUGCCCCUGUCCCCAGCCUCUUCAACCUGACACAAGUUUGCAUUCUAUGCUCUCUUUCUUUGGAACAAGGAUUGACUCCUAAGUGGCAUCUGGAGAAGGCCGAGCUUCCUGCAGGGACCUGAAGAGGGU